CCCAGUGAUCCCAGAUGCCACUCUCACCUCCUGACACCGUCACCCUGAUGCUGGAAUGAGGCGGAAAGGGACAAAUGGCGCAGGAACAAAAGGGCUCAGAACUGUUUUUCUUGGUCAGAUCCCAUGAGCCCCAUCAGCGACAUCCGCGAUGGCUUUUCCAGACCAGGCUGGGCAGCCAGAUUUUGCUCAAGUGUUCCCAGGGAACAACAACAACAACAACAAAAAAACCCACCAACCAUCAUGAACAUGUGUCUGGCUGAUAGGAACCCAGGAUUGUCCAGCAGCAAAGUUCCCUGUGGGCUUGGGAAAGAGUGGAGGAGCAGCGGAGAUGGUGUAACAGGAUGUGGGCAUCUCAUCUCCCCAGAGCAGGAGGCAGCCAGAAGCACUGGCACUCACCCAGCACUCAGCUCCAAUUUGUUUGCACACAGGCUUUGCUGGAAAAUUGCAUCCAGCCGGCCAGUUAAUAAAAAUCAUCCUCGCAGAGCUCACCGGCAGCAUUUGCUGAAUGAGAGAUGGAUGCUAAAUUAUUCACUCUGCGCCAUCGGAGCCGCGGCGCUGGGAGAGGGAGGAAGAUUUCGUGUUGUGCUGUCAAUUCUGGAGCACUUCAUUCUCAGGGCUCUGAGGCUGCCAUCUGCUACUGAAUUCACCACGAGGAACGGGAGGGGGAAGGAGGCAGCGUUUGCAGGCACUGACUGCUCAUCGUACAGCAGCUCUAGAACACAUUUUGGAGCAGUCAUGAGAAGGAGAAAUCCAGGGGGAAGUGCGGAGUGGAAGGGAUAACGUGUCACUCAGAGGAUUCCACCUACACAGACGGAGGAGAAACAUCUGAGGGCACAAAAUGCCACCCUGCCUCUCCUGUCUGCCACACCUGAGUGGUCAAGGGAGAGGGCAGGCGCAGCACAACCUUCUGGAUGUGUAAUUUGCCUUCACAGCCAGAAAUUUUCCCAUUUCUCCAAGUAUCCAGCCGUUCUCUUUGGCUACUGAGCUACCCCUCAACCCCUCCCCAAGAUUUUAUAAAAAAAUUUAUAUUUUUUUAAAUUAAAAUCUUGAUAAGGUGCUCAGCAGGGAGGCCCUUGUUCUCUUACGCACCAGAACCACUCUGAGAGGAAAUUUUGGGAAAUCACUGUUGGAGACAUCAUGGCCAGGUGCUGUGGUGGAAGUGUUCUGGUGGUGGCGAGGCUCUGGAUGCCUGAUCCACGUCUGGGAGCUCACCCAGCCAUGCUGAGCAGUUUGUUUUAUCAGGAACCAGACAGAGGAGACACAGCAGAGCCGAGCGAGGCCCUGCAGGCAGAGCUGGGGAGGGAGAUAGAGCACCUUGGCUGGGCAUGAAAGGCUCUGGGAGAACAAGAGAGGAGGAAACAACAGAAAUCAGCCAGGAAAACAAGCUCCCUGGUUUGUUCCAAGACUUUCAGCACGGAACACCAGAGAUUUUGGGGGUUCAGAAGCCGGAGCAGAGGGCACCGUGGGAUUCCUGCGUGUGGGACACGGCCCAGGCAGGAGAGGGAUGAGGAUGCAGCCUGGUGGAUUCCCACAGAGCUGGGAAGAACCCAAACAACCACGGGAAAGCCAUGAACUGAAAGCUUCUUCCAUUUUAUGCUUUCCCUCCAGGCCAUGGGCCUUUCCCCUCAGCAGGGCUCUGGGAUCGGGGCCUGGCACUGCACACCGACGGGAUGAGCCAGCUGGAAAAUCGGGAUUGAGUUCAUCAACCUGCCUUGAAGCAUCCACAGGUUCAGGAAGACGAUUCCUGAGGUGUCUGCAGCCUCCCCAGCCCAUCCAGGCUGUGAGAAUUUGGUCCCCAUGGCACGCUGGGCGUCCUCUGUGUCCUCCCCAGCGCUCCCAGCCUCAGGGCUCUGGGGAAGGCGGUGCUGGGCCUGCUCUGCCAGGCAAACCUCCAUCCAGCAGGGAAAAUCUCCACAGAUUCCCUUGUCCUUCACCACAUCCCUCCAGCUCCAUCCCGCUCCUUUAGCACGGCCUGGAGCUGAGGGCCCGCAUCAGAACCAUGAGAGGAACCAGGAGAGGGGAGGGCCUGGGAGCCAUCCCUGCUGGAUAAGGACAGGGACACACAGGAGUCUGGCUCCUUGGAGCCCGAAGGUAGAGCUGGAGUUUCCCCUGAGGAACACAGCUCAGGAGUUGGCCUUUGCAGUGGGUGAGACGAGGAGAAAAGCUGGAAAAAACUGCUGAUUUUGGGGAGAGAUGCCCAGUGUGGGCCCAAGGCCACAACCCUCACCAGGACGGUGUUCCACGAGCUUUAUGGGUGAAGCUGUUGAUUUUCUUAUCCUUGUGCACCCCAUUUCCCACCUGGAGCCCCUGGGCACAGGAAGGACCCUCUGAUGGGAGGGGCAGGACGUGGUUCCCUGCCCUCAGCACCUGCUCAGGUGUGCCUUGCCCACGGGAUUGACCCUUCGGCCGCUGUGGCUCAGGGAAAAGGCCUCUGACAGAUUUCUUGGACCCUUCCACCUCUCCCACCUCACCUUGCUCUGGAGUAGGGAUCACUGACGUUGCUUCCUUCGUAUUCCAGCCAUUUUCCUGCACAGCCAGAGGUUCACUUUCCACCUCUCUCCCUUUCCAAAGGUGGCCCUUCUGUCCUUUAGGAGCUGAGGGACAUUCAGAAGGAAGGUGAAACCCCACAGAAUUCCAGCUGAUGGAGCCCACGGGGCCGCUCUCCAGGCGAGGCUCUCCUGCUCUCACCCCUGGGACAAACAAGGACAUUCUCCCCGUUGGUUAUUCCCCAGCACAUCCAAUUCAUCCAGCCCACAUCUCUCCCUGGGCAGCACGGUGGGAUUUCAUCCCCAGCCUUGGGGGGGGUGUUGAUUUUUAACGCCUGCGUAUUUAUUUUUGCCAUUGCCCCGGCCGUUCCAGACCCCGCUUUAUCUGCGGCGCUCUUUGACCCCCGCGUGUCAGGAGUUCAAUCUGGGACGUUCCACUCUUUGCCCCCACUUAAUUCUUUUCGAGCUGCUCGGCCUUUGAAACCUGGUGCCAUAUGCCAGCCCCCAAAGAGCCCUGAUCAAUACCAGGGGACCACGUCCCUGUGACCUUACAACCCGCCCCAAAAAGGGCAGAGGGCAGAGCCCAGCGUUGGCCAUGUUUUCAUUACAGGGGUUGUUGGAGGGGGAGGGACACCCUUUUCUUUCUUGUUUUCUUUCUUUCUUUUCAGAAAGACGUGGCCCAGCUGGGACACUCCUGGCUGCUCGUCCCCUCCUCUGCCUCAUUUAAUGACAGCAAGUGCCAGAACCACCAAAAAUCAGGAGAACUGAUGAGGUACAGCACAUGCUUUCUGUCCUGGCUGCUUUCAUCUGCAGAACGAGCAGAGCGGAUGAAAGGGGAAAAGCAGGUGGUGUCUCCCUGGGACAGACAGGCUUGGAUGGAGCUGCUCCCAAAGGGAGAUUUAACCCAGGAAAAGGGAGGAAAAGCAGCAGUGAGGUCCAAGCCAAAGCAUUCCCCUGGGAAUGGGCAGGGACCAGGUGCCCACAGGAUCUUCUGCACUUGUUGUGGGUCCCGUCCCCAAGGUCCUGGAAGAGCAAUGGCAGGGCCAGGCUGGUGGUGCCAAUGUCACUGUCCAGGACACCUCUUCCCUUUCAGGGACACGGCUACCAUGGGCAGAGCUCCUUCCCCUGAAGCUGUUUCCUGUGGGCAGAGGUUUUUCCUCAUGCCAAUACCCAGGAUAAAUCUGCUCCCCUGCACAGGCCAGCCCUGCAGAGGGUGCAGGACCGAGCGUGGCAUUGCCACAGCCACCCCUCUGCCAGCCUGGGCCCCUGGGCUCUGAGCUCAUCAGCCAAAUCCCUCCCAAGCUCCUGACUCAGGGAAUGGCCCUGAGUGUUUGGGCAGCGCUCUCAGGGAUUGUGGCUGGGGUUGUGGGGUGUCUAUGCAGGGCCAGGAGUUCAAUCAAUCAUCCCUGUGGGUCCUUCCAGCUCAGGCUAUCCUGUGAUUCCCUGAUUCCAGGACACCCCCUUGCCCGGGGGUGCUGGGGGAAGGUGAUUCCCUGUGAUUCCCUGAUUCCAGGACACCCCCUUGCCCGGGGGUGCAGGGGGAAGGUGUGACCCAGCUCAGCAGUGCAGAGGCCGGUGGGUGAUCUGGGAUUUGCUGCAGCUUUGGCUGCUGUUGGUGGGUUUGACCCCAGGGUUGUGCUGGCUGGGCUGUGCACACCAGCCCUCCACAAGCUCCUUUCUCCUCACCUUUGCUUCCACCUCUCCACAGGGGCAGGAACUGCCCAGACCAGGCUCUGCAGGAGCUCAGCCCCAUCAAGAAUAAAAGCACUUUUGAACAAUCCUCACAGUUUGGGGUCAGUGGCUUCUGCAGGACCCUGUUAGAAGAGUUCCAGGACAUUUUUGAGCGUUGCUGUGCUGCUGACUCACCCCAAAUCCUAAUGACCCAAACCUGUGGGGUGAGAGCAGCACACCCUGGCGUGGCCAGGGCUGGAGAAGCAGGAAAACCCCUCUGGCACUGGUCUGUGACCCGAGUGUUCCCAAGGACGGGAUUGAUGGGGCGCCUCACCCUCAGCAUUCCUGCGGUGGUGGCAAGGGCAGGAGAUCCUCAGAUGGAGGGCUCUUCCAUGCACCAUCCAAUUAACCCUUCUGGCAACUUCCAUUAAAAAUAAAGGGGCCUCCAGGUCCCUGCUGGAAUGGCCUA